AGCGAACGCUGGCGGCGUACUUAACACAUGCAAGUCGAACGAGGAUCGUCGGUGUAGCAAUACAUCGGCGGCUCUAGUGGCGUACGGGUGAGUAACACGUGGGUAACCUGCCCUCGAGUCCGGGAUACCCUCUCGAAAGGGAGGCUAAUACCGCAUCCGGCCUACGGGAGAAAGCAGGGGAUCGCAAGACCUUGCCCCAAAAGAUGAGCCGAAGUCGGAUUAGCUAGUUGGUAGGGUAACGGCCGACCAAGGCGACGAUCCGUAGCUGGUCUGAGAGGACGACCAGCCACAAUGGGACUGAGACACGGCCCAGACGCCUACGGGAGGCAGCAGUGGGGAAUAUUGGACAAUGGGGGAAACCCUGAUCCAGCGACGCCGCGUGUGUGAAGAAGGCCUGCGGGUUGUAAAGCACUUUUAGUGGGGAUGAAAUGUGCAGGGUCAAUACCUCUGCAUUUUGACCUAACCCACAGAAAAAGCACCGGCUAACUCUGUGCCAGCAGCCGCCGUAAUAC
rnacentral:rRNA from 1 species